CCUACGGGAGGCAGCAGUGGGGAAUAUUGCACAAUGGGGGAAACCCUGAUGCAGCGACGCCGCGUGAAGGAAGAAGUAUUUCGGUAUGUAAACUUCUAUCAGCAGGGAAGAAAAUGACGGUACCUGACUAAGAAGCCCCGGCUAACUACGUGCCAGCAGCCGCGGGAAUACGGAGGGGGCAAGCGUUAUCCGGAUUUACUGGGUGUAAAGGGAGCGUAGGCGGCAGCGCAAGUGUGGAGUGAAAUGCCGGGGCCUAACCCCGGAACUGCUUUGGAAACUGUGGAGCUGGAGUGUAGGAGAGGUAAGCGGAAUUCCUGGUGUAGCGGUGAAAUGCUUAGAUAUUAGAAGGAACACCAGUGGCGAAGGCGGCUUACUGGACUGUAACUGACGUUGAGGCUCGAAAGCGUGGGGAGCAAACAGGAUUAGAUACCCGAGUAGUC
rnacentral:rRNA from 1 species